rnacentral:rRNA from 1 species
CCCUUAGAUGUUCUGGGCCGCACGCGCGCUACACUGACGAAUGCAACGAGCUUAUAACCUUGGCUGAAAGGUCUGGGUAAUCUCCAAAUUUCGUCGUGAUGGGGAUAGAUUAUUGCAAUUAUUAAUCUUCAACGAGGAAUGCCUAGUAAGCGCAAGUCAUCAGCUUGCGUUGAUUACGUCCCUGCCCUUUGUACACACCGCCCGUCGCUCCUACCGAUUGAAUGGUCCGGUGAAGCGUUCGGACCGUGGCCUUUGGACGGUUCGCCGUCUGUUGGCUGCGGGAAGUUCGUUAAACCUUAUCAUUUAGAGGAAGGAGAAGUCGUANCA